GGGGCGGGGCCUGCCACCUGAGGGCGGGGUGUCCCGGCCGGAGCACACACCUGCUUCCGCCUGACGUGGACCCGUUAAGGUUUGAAAGGGAAGCCCGCGCUUCCGGUGUGACGUCUCAGCGGAAAGAACCGGGGAGCCGCGCGGCGCUGGGCCCCGGCGGCGGAAGACGGCGAGCGCGCGCGUCGUGGACGGGGACUGACGGCGCGGGCCUCCUUCCCGCCUUCGGGCUGGGAGGCGUUUUUAAGAAGUGACUCGACUGCCUGUGUGGUGGAAGACCAAGGGCCUUGAGCCUCACGGGUCCCGGCCAUCGGCGCACUGGACACGUCCAUCCAGACCCACGGUUCCUCUUCUUGGAGGAGAUUACAGGGCUGGGGGGAUGGCUCAGCGGUUAAGGCGCUUGCCUGCAAAACCGAAAGACGCAGGUUCGAUUCCCCAGGACCUAUGUAAAGCCAGGUGCACAUGUGGUACAUGCCUCAGGAGUUGGUUUGCUCUGUCUGGAGGCCCUGGUGCAUCCAUUCUCAAAUAAAUAAAUAAAAAUAAUUUUUUUUAACAAAAGUA